UUAAGUCAGGCAACGAGCGAGACCCACGUCCACAGUUGCCAGCAUAUUCUCCGGAAUGAUGGGUACACUGUGGAGACCGCCGCUGCUAAAGCGGAGGAAGGAGUGGGCAACGGUAGGUCAGUAUGCCCCGAAUCUCCCGGGCUACACGCGGGCUACAAUGGUUGGUACAAUGGGCAUCUACCCCGAAAGGGGAAGGUAAUCUCUUAAAACCAAUCGUAGUUCGGAUUGAGGGCUGCAACUCGCCCACAUGAAGCUGGAAUCCGUAGUAAUCGCGUUUCAACAGAACGCGGUGAAUACGUCCCUGCUCCUUGCACA
rnacentral:rRNA from 1 species